GAGAGAGAGAGAGAGAGAGAGAGAGAGAGCUGUCUGAUAGGCCACGAUAAGUGGGGGAGGGGGGAGGAGGGUCCCCAAAGGCUUUCAAUUUAAGCUUGGGCUAUUAGCACAUGUUACAUGUCAUGACUCUGCUUCAGCAAGCCUCAGCCCAACCUUUGAGAACACCCAUGGUGUGUGUGUGUGUGUGUGUGUGUGUGCGCGUGUGUGUGUGUGUGUGUGAAACUCUGUGGACUCAGUCUGUACCUCCUUUCUCCCAGAUUCUAGUCUACCCAACUAGCACAGUCAGCCCUGCCUAGUCCUAGUCCUGGUCCUAGUCCUAGUCCUAGUCCUGGGCCUAGUCCUGGUCCUAGUCCUAGUCCUAGUCCUGGGCCUAGUCCAGUCCAGAUAGAACAUUCAUCCUUUAUUCAAUUUCCACUUCUGAAAACCUAGUCUGGAGGUUGAACUUAGUCACCACAUUUAGAAUCAUAUUUCAAAUGUAAAUUGAAUUAGGGCAGAUGACAACAUGAUACAGUUUAUUUCAGGAAGUCAACACUAUGCUGUUAUGCUUAUUAAUUGGUGCUAAUUACCCAGAAAUUUAAAUUGAAUUUUUAAUAAAUGCGUAUACCUGCAGAUAUGGGGUUGUUUUAGGAAGGAAACACUGCAAAUUAAUGUGUUUGUUUUACAUUUGAUACAUUGAUUCAUGUGCUCUCUCUACCUCUCACUCUCUCUCUAUCUCUCACUCACCCACCAACACACAAUAGCAGUUCAACAAACAUAUAUUAUAUAUCAAUAUGUUAUAUAUAUAUAUAUAUUAUAUAUCAACAUUUUGUUUUUAAAAACAGCCUGUGAGGCCAGGACCCUGAAGCCCCAAUAAACAAACUGAUCACGUGAUCCUCCUCUGCCCUCCUCAUCUUAUCAGUGUGUGUGUUUGUGUGUGUUUGUAUUUGUGUGUGUUUUUGUGUGUGUGCACAUGCCUCCUGCCUUCUGUAUCAGGUCUAUUGAUGAGCAUCAGCGAUGAGUGAGUUAGGCUGCAUUAGCCGUGAUGCGUGGCGUCUGAGCUUUGACGCCAGUCACGCUGCACCCAAGACUGUUCUCUCUCCAGGUCCCAGACAACGUCCUCGCGCAGCCACAGCCAGAGGAACAGGACACAACGCAGACUCAUAAGAGCUCAGUUCAUCAGAAUCGGAUCCAUUUAUCAGAGAUCAAGGGGUUCUAGGAAGCAUACAGCCAUGACUAGAUCAGGCUUAGGGUCACACCCCUUCAGGGAGAGAAAUCUACCAAAUCAACAUUCCUCAGAAGCAGUUCAGUAUUGAGUUUUACAGCAACUCUUAAGGCAACACAGUAAAUAACGGGGGAAUUCUGUCGAGGCAGUUUUUAAAACGGGUAAAGAUUUUCUGAAAAGGCGUUGAAAGUUUUGAUAAGCAUACCUGUGUUUGGUAGAAAUGGAGACGUGUGAGAAUUUUGAAAUUUAAAUUGGGUGUGCAAAUGAUCACAAUAACGGACCAAUAACGGAUGUAUGAUAUUUCAAUGUAUCUGUUUUGUUUUUAUUGAAUUAUGUCUAUGCAGGGGUAAUUAUGCUAUCUUAGGUAUCUUAAUUGAAUAUUGAUAUUAUUUUAGUCCAAUUUUAAAUCGAAACAAAACCCUAAUACGAUGAUUUAGGUAAUAGAAGCAAAGAAAGAAUAGGCGCGUGUCCGUACGGACUGCGUCAGGAUUGUGCGACUUCGCUCAGUGUGUUUAGUUUAGGCUAACCCUAAAGGAUGCAAUUCUCUACAACCAGGUUAGCUUUAGUUGGCUAAUGACCAUUACUAACUUAUCCCCGCGCGCACGGGUCAUUGACAAUUUAAGAGAUGAGAGCGAGACCGUCACAGCGAUCAGGGGUGCCAUGGCAACCUCUCUCAUCCCGCGCUGGCCUCCAUUACGCGCCAGUUCCGCCCUUACGCCGGAGCAUAUGGAAUAAUUGGUGUGUUAUUGGUCUCCCGGGGGAAUAGGCAUGUGUGGCGCGAGGGGUUCCUAAUUGGAUUUAUUUGUUUUGAUGUGUUUUAGAGGCGUUAACGAACGAGACUCCCUAACUCCCCCUUUCGCUCGCUCUCUCUCUCUAUCUCUCUCUCUUACACAUCCACCCACACACACACACACACACACACACACACACUAAAAACGGUUCACUGGUGCGCAUUCAUGUGGUUCAAUGAGUAACAAAUGUUCACCCAGAACUGACCGUUUUUAUGGACUUAAACUGCUCAUAAGUCUCAGGACGUCUUGAUGUUAGAGCAAAUGUGAUUCCUAAAUAGUUUUACAGGCCGCAUAUGCAACUGGUUUGUGUAUUUGAUGUGUAGUCCGGCUCAGCUGUGUCAGUCAGCGGUUAGGUGCAGAGCCUCAGUUUUCAGCGCGCGCACAGCGGAUAGACAUCUCAAUACAGGCUUCUGUUGUGUCUUCUUCACAAGGGGAGCGCACCCGGCCCAGCGCGGCCCGUUUCUGAUUUCAUUUUAAUAAGGUCAGUAAUAAUCGCGCGAGCCAGCCGAGUAGAAAACAGUUCCCGCGGGGCCCAUUGAGAGGCGCGAUGCGCGAGGCCCCGGAGGUGCCACGAGCUGACCCGCGAGCUUCACAAACAAUCUGAUCAUGCAGCUUUGCGGACGCUGUCUCUUGUCUCGCGGGACCCGGCUCGGCACGCCAGGCGCUCAGCCCCAUUGUCAGCGGUGGCGCUAAUAAAAUUGUCCCUCCUGCAGGCGAGGCAUGUUAGGAAAUUAAUUUUAUCUAAUUAUACUGAUGUCACCGCCGCCUUUCAGAGCGUAAUUAAAAUUUGACCUGCGAGUUUCCGCUUUCUUUCUUCGCUGGAGAGAAAAAAACACGAAUUGGAUUAACGAACUGUUCAGAAGAAUGCCAAGUAUGUGUGUCUGGCCAGUAAAAACUGCCCGGUGGACAAGAGGAGACGUAACCGCUGCCAGUACUGUCGCUUCCAGAAGUGCCUCAGCGUUGGCAUGGUGAAGGAAGUGGUGCGCACUGACAACCUGAAGGGGCGUCGUGGCCGCCUGCCCUCCAAACCAAAGAGCCCCCUGCAGACUGAGUCGUCUCCCCCGUCCCCCCCCCCUCAGCCUACUCUCCGCCCUGCUCAGGGCCUACUCCCACUGCACCCCCCGCGAGCUCGACUACAGCCAGUUCAGUGCGGCGGAUCCUCCCUCCUCCUCGUCGGACGCCCAGCACAUCCAGCUUUUCUAUAGGCUUCUCACUGCCUCGAUGGAUACCACACGUUGUUGGGCUGACCGGCUUCCGGGCUUCUCUGAGCUCAACCGCGACGACCAGAACCUGCUCAUAGACUCCGCCUUCCUGGAGUUGUUCGUGCUGCGAUUGGCCCACAGGUGAUGUUGCCAUAACUACGUGCUGAUGAUCUUGACGUGUUCAUAACACUGUGGUGAUGUCCGUGAGUUUCUCUGUGUCACUGUGACACUGUGACAGCGUGUCAACAUGUCAAUGUAGGAUCUACAGGUCUACUGGUCUACAGUGCUACUGGUCUACAGGUCUACUGGUCUUAAGGGCUACUGGUCUACAGGGCUACUGGUCUACAGGGCU